rnacentral:sRNA from 1 species
AUUGCUCCAAGAUGGCGGCGGCGGCGGCAGCGGAGGAGAUGCUCUGCUGAGGGGCAGUUGCUAUGGUUACAGGGCCUGGACCGUCCUCCGGAAGGUGAGAAACAGGAGCGCAGCUCAGCUGGGCUGGAACUGCCCUCCUGGAACUCCCCCAGCCUGCAACCUAGGAGGUGCAGGGACUGAGGCUCAGGCCAAAUCGCAACUCAGACCCAGUGAACCCAAGGCCUGAAGAGAAUUUGGAUUCAUUUACAUUGUUUUGUGGGGACUGGAGAGACAAGUAAACUCUCAGAGUAACUGUCCCCUCUGACUACCAUUUCUAAGGCAAGCCCCCUGUUUCUACUCUUGCGCCCCCUUCUGGUUUCCUGCCCUGUCUGAAGGGCAGAAACCUACAAAAAGACUUCAUGGGGAAAUUAUUUGAUCAUCUGCUUGGAACCCAGAGCUACACCAACUGUGCUGGAGACCGGCCAGCCAAAUUUUCAGUCACGGUGGGGACAAGGAGACAGCGCCAUCUGGUGCUUGAGGGUGUGGCCAAUGAAUGUGGAGGGGAGUGUCCUAAGGUUGGC